rnacentral:rRNA from 1 species
UACGUAGGGUGCGAGCGUUGUCCGGAAUUAUUGGGCGUAAAGAGCUCGUAGGCGGUUUGUCGCGUCGACUGUGAAAACUGGGGGCUUAACUCUCAGCUUGCAGUUGAUACGGGCAGACUUGAGUUCGGUAGGGGAGACUGGAAUUCCUGGUGUAGCGGUGAAAUGCGCAGAUAUCAGGAGGAACACCGGUGGCGAAGGCGGGUCUCUGGGCCGAUACUGACGUGAGGAGCGAAAGCGUGGGGAGCGAACAGG